UACGUAGGGUCCAAGCGUUAAUCGGAAUUACUGGGCGUAAAGCGUGCGCAGGCGGUCGUUCAAGUCGCGUGUGAAAGCCCCCGGCUCAACUGGGGAGGGUCACGCGAUACUGAUCGACUCGAAGGCAGGAGAGGGUAGUGGAAUUCCCGGUGUAGUGGUGAAAUGCGUAGAUAUCGGGAGGAACACCAGUGGCGAAGGCGACUACCUGGCCUGUUCUUGACGCUGAGGCGCGAAAGCUAGGGGAGCAAACGGG
rnacentral:rRNA from 1 species